CAUGCAAGUCGAGCGAGAAGUUUUAAAAAGAUGCUUCGGUUGAUUUUUAAAACGGACAGCGGCGAAAGGGAGAGUAACGAGUAGAUACGUACCCAAGGGUUCGGGAUAGCCAUGCGAAAGCGUGAGUAAUACCGAAUAAUGUCUCCGGACCAAAGAUUUAUCGCCCUUGGAGCGGUUUGCUUACUAUUAGCUUGUUGGUGGGGUAAAGGCCUACCAAGGCUUAGAUGGUUAGCGGGUGUGAGAGCAUGACCCGUCUCACUGGGACUGAGACACUGCCCAGACACCUACGGGUGGCUGCAGUCGAGAAUCUUCCGCAAUGGACGCAAGUCUGACGGAGCGACGCCGCGUGCUGGAUGAAGGCCCUCGGGUUGUAAACAGCUGUCGUAGGGGAGGAAAUUUUGACCGAUCCUAGGAGGAAGCACAGGCUAAGUUCGUGCCAGCAGCCGCGGUAAUACGAACUGUGCAAACGUUAUUCGGAAUCACUGGGCUUAAAGGGUGCGUAGGCGGGUUGGUAGGUCAGAUGUGAAAGCCCACGGCUCAACCGUGGAAUUGCGUUUGAAACCACUAGUCUUGAGGGGAUCAGAGGAGAGCGGAACUGAUGGUGGAGCGGUGAAAUGCGUUGAUAUUAUCAGGAACACCGGUGGCGAAAGCCGGCUCUCUGGGAUCCUUCUGACG
rnacentral:rRNA from 1 species